AAAGAUGCUGGGUUCAACCCUAUUUUCGUUUUCAUUAGCUCUUUAGAAAUUUCCUGUGCAAUCAUUCUUCCGCUGGUUGAUUUCUUCGAUCUGGACCUCUGUCUCUCUGGGAGUUGGAUCAAUAAUGUUCCUUUUAUUUCUCCCUUUCCUUUUCCCAUAGCAUUUUUUCCAUAUUGUUUUUUUUAGGGAUUGUACUCUGUUGGUGGAGAAUGCAGGUGGUAAUGAUCGUUUUGAUUUGUGUUCUUCAUAAUUUUAACAUGCGAGAUGGGGGUUUCUCAGUGAUGAGCAAAAAUGAUGACGAGUCUGAUCUUAUUCCAUUCUUUCUCCCGUGACGACAAAUCGAGGCAUUUGUCUGAGAGAAACCCCUUACUGAUGCCGCGUCUUUUAUUUUCUUUUUUGCAACAAAAGAAAUGUGAAGCAUGAUUUGGGUUUUCGACUGUGUUUUUGUAAUUAAAUUUAGGUUUUGGUUGAUUUUCUCUUUUCCUUUUUAAUUUUUUUUUGCGUCUUUUGUUUUAUUAAGUUCUCAGUUCAAUAGGACAGAAGAGGCAUGAUGAUGAAAAUCUUUACAUAUUUUCUGAUAUUUAAUGAUUGAAAUAAAUCCUCCUACUCAUUCUGAAUGCCAACAUCUUUUACUCGAUGUCAACAUUCCUUUUCUUAAAUCUGAGUGCUUUAGUUGUACCAAUCUUGUUUCAUGCAACAAGUAAAAGAUUGUGUCUGCUUGAAUCAAAAUAUCAGGCCUAUUGUGGUUUCGAAAUUUCCCUCCUUUUCCUUGGGUGUCUCUCAAGUAUGUGUUUUCUCACUUCGAGAAGGCGAGGGGAAUGUUGUGGCGAUGAUGAGAAAGUAAUUUAACUCUCUUGUUAAGUUGUUGAGGGGUUGAUCCUCAUCUCCCAUGAUUACAUUUCAAGCACUUUUGAGCUACAUCUUUCUCCUCCAUUUUCAACUUUCGAUUGAUUUUACUUGCUCGAUUUCAGUUACACCCUCCAUUUUAACUAGGUUUUCCUUGCCUUCUUUUCAUUGUCUUUCCUCUUUUAUGAAUCUUGAAUCCUGUAUUCGUGCAUCUGUAAUCUGCAUUACAACGAAACAAGUAGUUUUUACAAGAACAAACGUAUUUAGUGCUAAUUUUGGCAUUUACAAAGAAUCAAACAACCCAUUUGGAACAACGAAAUCAAAAGUUGUGGAAGGAAAUUUAAAGUUGUACCCCUGUACCCCCUAAAAUUUGGGUUUGUCUUUGGAACUGUGGGCGUAAUAAAUCUUGUUACAUAGCGCCACAUCAGCAUUUUACCCAACUAUAGAGAAUUGCAAAAUCAAGCAAGGCGUAGUGUUUAAUAACGUUUUAAGUGUAAAUAAAUGAGUUUAUUAUUAUUUUUGAAAAAUUCGGACAUGUUCAAUGCAGAUUUCUAAUUUUCAAACAUAUACUAAAAUUUAUCCAAACGAGUGACAUAUUCAUCUAGGUUUUUUAGCCCGUUAAGGCUGUUGAUUCACGAUUGUGCGAAAUGAUUUGAGCUUUAAAGCAAUGCUUGGCUUAUCUUGUGAAAACUUUGCUUAUCUUCAAAGAUCUGUUACAUUCUAGCCUAAAUCAGUAAUUAUUUUACAUUGUUCUUGGCACUAUUGCGUUACUUUCAUAGCUUUAUGAAGGUAAAGAUAUGUACCUGGAAUUCACAGGCCCGUUUGGCAAGUCUUUUUGAGAAGUUAAUUUGGUACCUUUGACAGUUAAAAGACGAUCAAGUUUUUACAUGAAAGAUCUGAGUAGCCCCAAGUUAUUUUGGUAGAUACAUGUCUUUUUCUGUUUUUCUGUGUGGCAAUAAAACACUUAAGAUGCCAAAAGCUUCAUUUUGAGCUUUUGAAAUCAACUCAAAAUGAGUUUUUUGUGUGUUUUUGGUGUUUUGGCUUUUGGCUGUUAGAUACACAUCACUGCAGUCUUGUGGGGGGGUUGAUUUGAAAUCCGCACAGAGCACAAGUGAAUGAUAGAACUAUACUCCCACUGCAGAUUAAUAAAUUUUAGGAUGUGUUUGGGAUGGAUGUAAAAUGUCGUCAGUGUAAAAGUACAUUGAUGCUGUUUUGCAUUGAACCCUAUAAAUGAUCUUGAUUUACACACUCUUUCCAAAUGCCAAUAAAACUAGUCCAAUGUAAAUAUUUAUAUCAAUUUUGAUUUACAUUAUCUCCAUAUGCAGCCUUAGAGUUGUUUUUGACUCUUAAAUUGUCUUUUUGUUUGUUUAUUUUUACCAAAUGUGUUGUAUUCAUCUUUAAUAAAUCGGUAGAGAGUGGACAUUUUUGUAAAUUUAUCAUUCAAAUGAGUAUAUAUAUAUAUAUAUAUAUAUGUAUAUAUCAUAAAAUUUUUGUAAAUUUUUUAUAUUUUGUUUUUUAAAACUGGUUCAGAAGAGUUGGUUUAGGACCCUUUCAUCCCCUGAACCGGUCAGACCCCGAUACAUCCACUUGAUAGAAACACUGUUUAGUUCAGCCGUUUAUUAAAAAAACAUAAAAAACUGUAUGCCCGGAGAUGUUAGGGACUUGGGGGUAGCGAUAAGUUCUUGCUUUCCCCAAGAGCAUGACAUUUCUUGAAACCUCUUGAGGAUGUAGUGCCGAUGUGGUGGUUCGAGUAAGAUGAUCCCAUGCAUCAUGGGCCACGAAGAAUAAAUGCUUUUCACCCUAAUGCAAAGAGAAUCCAUUUUUUUUGUCUGUAGAGAACUGCUGCCAUCGUUUGUCGCCUAUCUAUACCUUGACGCAAGUCUCUCUCGUGCACCGACCUUAUGGGCGAUUCUUCCUGCCAUCGACAGCCCUCAGUGCUAGAAUUUUGGAUGCUAUCUUACAUUGAACGCCACAAAGUCAUUGAGGAAAUUCUUAGCUGAUAAAAAUUUGUUGAACAAAUGUAACUAACUAUUAUACAAUACUCCUCAAUUGUUUCUUCUGCAACAUCAAAAAACAUUAGUGAUUGGGUCCAACAGGAUAAGUUCCAUAUGCCACACUAUUUGGGGAACCAGUUGAAUCUUCCCAGGGGAGAAGCUUAGGUUAGAACCAUCAGCUUGUAUAAUUCAGAGUCAGAGGCAGAGCUAUGGCGUGAAUUUGACGCUGAAAAAAUUGGGUCCAGCAAUGAGGUUGCAAAGAAAGUGGAGGCCAAGGGUUUAUAGCUCCCUGGAAGUAAAAAAUGGCAAAAAAAAAAAAAGUGUUGGAAUGUGAUGUGGAAUCAACCCUAGAUUAUCCAAAUUUCAGUGCUCCACGCCCAUCUAAUGCAAGCACUUCCUUUAUUUAUUAGAAGAGAGUAAAUAAACAAACAAAAAUUAAAGGGAAAAUGAGAGAGGAAUUAAUUUGCCUAUUAUUGGACAUUAGACUCUUUUAUCAGCCUCAUUGAAAUUGUAAGUCACAAAGGAGAAAAACAACCAUUGAGGGUAGUUUGGACCAUUGAAACAUUUCAAUGGCACCCAUACAUCCACUGCUGUCGUUUUGACUGUUGAAUGUGAUUUUCAUCCAAAAUCAACUGUUGGAUCUCAAAAUAUGCAAGUUAACUGUAUUUCGACCAUUGGAUCGAUUCGAUGGCACCCAAAUAUCAAGGAAAAGUGCCACACUGGAUCACCUAGAUGCCCAUUUCUUGAAAUGCCCUUCCAAACAGCAAAAGUUCAUAAAGCAUUUAUCUUUGCUGAAUUGGCAAGUGCCUUUAAACGCUGUUUCUUAAAACGCCCACCCUAACCUUUCUCGAGGUUUUCUUCUUUGUACAGAGGUUUUCUCUUCCACCUUCGCUCCACUGGGGUGGUUCCCCUUGGGGAGCCCCCCAUCUCCCUCUUCUUUUCCUCCUCCUUGUUCUCUCUAGUCCUCUUAUUUUUCUUCUCCCCUUCUCCCCUUUUAUAACUCCUCUCGCCCUUCUGAUUUUUCCAUUCCUUUGUUUCAGUUCUUUUUUGUUACUUUGUUCUUUUUGUUCUUUUCUUUGCUUCUGCUGUGCAGGGGACUUGGUUCAGGUGGUGAGCUCUUCAGUCUUUUCUUGUUGGGCGGUGGCCACGAUCGCUGCUUUGAUUGCCAUCCAUGGCUGUUUCCCGAAUCCCAAAUUCAUUGCUGUAUUGGUACAAGGGGUAAUUUCGCUGCUGGUUGCAGUUUUUGGUGGCGGUUGCAGUUUCUUGGUGGCAGUUGCAGUUGUAGAUUCCUGGUGACUGAUUUGGUGGAAGUUGCAGUUCACCAACAAGUUCCAUGGUAACGGAUGCAGUUAUUUGGGGCUUUGCCGUUUUUUGCGGCUUUCUCCGGUCGUGCUAUCCCUGACACUUCACCCUUUUCUUUAAGCGUUCCUCCUGCCUUUUUCACUCUUAUUUGGUGGAUGGAGCUGGCAUUAGAUUGCUGUUUAUUCUGUUGGUGAUUCUUAACUCACCAUUUGUCAUUUGCAGAAAUUCCUUUUUUCUCUUUUAUUCACUAAUUUUGUAUAUUUUGUUCUUUCUAAGAAUUUGUCUACGGGCUUUUUCGCUUGGCACUGUUAUCAAUUAUUUGUAUGAAAGUUGCCUUAAAAAUAUGGGGAGAUUGAGCCAUUUUUCUGGGA